rnacentral:rRNA from 1 species
GAUCCUGGCUCAGGACGAACGCUGGCGGCGUGCCUAAUACAUGCAAGUCGAACGAAGCUUUCUUUCACCGAAUGCUUGCAUUCACCGAAAGAAGCUUAGUGGCGAACGGGUGAGUAACACGUAGGCAACCUGCCCAAAAGAGGGGGAUAACACUUGGAAACAGGUGCUAAUACCGCAUAACCAUGAACACCGCAUGAUGUUCAUGUAAAAGACGGCUUUUGCUGUCACUUUUGGAUGGGCCUGCGGCGUAUUAACUUGUUGGUGGGGUAACGGCCUACCAAGGUGAUGAUACGUAGCCGAACUGAGAGGUUGAUCGGCCACAUUGGGACUGAGACACGGCCCAAACUCCUACGGGAGGCAGCAGUAGGGAAUCUUCCACAAUGGACGAAAGUCUGAUGGAGCAACGCCGCGUGAAUGAAGAAGGCCUUCGGGUCGUAAAAUUCUGUUGUCAGAGAAGAACGUGCGUGAGAGUAACUGUUCACGUAUUGACGGUAUCUGACCAGAAAGCCACGGCUAACUACGUGCCAGCAGCCGCGGUAAUACGUAGGUGGCAAGCGUUGUCCGGAUUUAUUGGGCGUAAAGGGAACGCAGGCGGUCUUUUAAGUCUGAUGUGAAAGCCUUCGGCUUAACCGAAGUAGUGCAUUGGAAACUGGAAGACUUGAGUGCAGAAGAGGAGAGUGGAACUCCAUGUGUAGCGGUGAAAUGCGUAGAUAUAUGGAAGAACACCAGUGGCGAAAGCGGCUCUCUGGUCUGUAACUGACGCUGAGGUUCGAAAGCGUGGGUAGCAAACAGGAUUAGAUACCCUGGUAGUCCACGCCGUAAACGAUGAGUGCUAAGUGUUGGAGGGUUUCCGCCCUUCAGUGCUGCAGCUAACGCAUUAAGCACUCCGCCUGGGGAGUACGGUCGCAAGACUGAAACUCAAAGGAAUUG